rnacentral:rRNA from 1 species
UACGUAGGGGGCAAGCGUUGUCCGGAUUUAUUGGGCGUAAAGAGCUCGUAGGCGGUUUGUCGCGUCUGCUGUGAAAACUGGAGGCUCAACCUCCAGCCUGCAGUGGGUACGGGCAGACUAGAGUGCGGUAGGGGUGACUGGAAUUCCUGGUGUAGCGGUGGGAUGCGCAGAUAUCAGGAGGAACACCGGUGGCGAAGGCGGUCUGCUGGGCAGUUGGCUGACACUGGAGGCGCGACGAGCGUUGGGGAGCAAACAGG